UGCAAGCCGAGCGGUAUUUAUUCUUCGGAAUAGAGAGAGCGGCGUACGGGUGCGGAACACGUGUGCAACCUGCCUUUAUCAGGGGGAUAGCCUUUCGAAAGGAAGAUUAAUACCCCAUAAUAUAUUGAAUGGCAUCAUUUGAUAUUGAAAACUCCGGUGGAUAGAGAUGGGCACGCGCAAGAUUAGAUAGUUGGUAGGGUAACGGCCUACCAAGUCAGUGAUCUUUAGGGGGCCUGAGAGGGUGAUCCCCCACACUGGUACUGAGACACGGACCAGACUCCUACGGGAGGCAGCAGUGAGGAAUAUUGGACAAUGGGUGAGAGCCUGAUCCAGCCAUCCCGCGUGAAGGACGACGGCCCUAUGGGUUGUAAACUUCUUUUGUAUAGGGAUAAACCUUUCCACGUGUGGAAAGCUGAAGGUACUAUACGAAUAAGCACCGGCUAACUCCGUGCCAGCAGCCGCGGUAAUACGGAGGGUGCAAGCGUUAUCCGGAUUUAUUGGGUUUAAAGGGUCCGUAGGCGGAUCUGUAAGUCAGUGGUGAAAUCUCAUAGCUUAACUAUGAAACUGCCAUUGAUACUGCAGGUCUUGAGUAAAGUAGAAGUGGCUGGAAUAAGUAGUGUAGCGGUGAAAUGCAUAGAUAUUACUUAGAACACCAAUUGCGAAGGCAGGUCACUAUGUUUUAACUGACGCUGAUGGACGAAAAGCGUGGGGAGCGAACAGGAUUAGAUACCCUGGUAGUCCACGCCGUAAACGAUGCUAACUCGUUUUUGGGUUUUCGGA
rnacentral:rRNA from 1 species